AACAAAGGGAGCGGAGCCGAGGCGGCCGCUGCUGCUGCCGCCGCCGCGGAGGAGGAGGAGGGAGAGGAGGGGGAGGAAGCACACGUGAUGGCAGCCCCCUCCCCCGGGACCGGAGGGGAGGACAAGAUCCAUAUGUUGAGGUCGUGCUGCUCACCCACUCAUGAAUAUGAAGAGGACAAGUUUGCUACUAAGAGAACCACAAAGGACAAUUCAGCGAGUAUGUCUUGGAGAUGGAUUUGGUGUCAUUCUCCUUUCACUGUGCAUGUCUAGGCAGGAUCAAAAUCCAACUUCCUUCUGGGAACCUGCAUUACCCAGAGCUGCCAAAGCCACAUUCUUUCUGCCUUUCUGAAAACCCUCUCUGCAAGGCAGAUGGUGGGCCAGGAAGGAAAAAGAAACCUCAUCUGCCACGCGGGCCUUUGUGUUUGGAGUUAGGAAGAGUCUGAAAGCUCCUCAGCGGGUAUAACUUGACAGACCUCCCCACUCUGCUGAGACACUGGCCAGGGCAAGGCUGGCAUGGCGAGAAGCACUGCAGCUGGUGCUUACGACAGCCCAGUUCUGACAAAUCAGGAGAGAAACAGACGUGUCACGUCCCUGAUUUAUUUUAGUUUACUACUGAAAUGAAAGACGCUGAAUUGAAAUGAAAGAUGCUGAACUGUGAGGAACAUUGUAGUCAUAGUGAUGAUGAACAGCACAAGUGCAGGGAGGUUUAUUGUGUUCUGCUCUGCAGGAGUGUGCUUCCUGGAGGAAGAUGAUGAAAAUCCAAUGCUGGGUAAAGAACUGUGGCUCUGGUGCGUUGUUGUGGUUCCUCAGGUGAACUGAAGGGCUUGGGAAGUGUCAAGGAGGAAUGAAGAGAAGGCUAACCUACUGAUAUUAACAAAUAUUACACCUUAAAUUAUACCAGUCUGAACAUUUACUUU